UGUUAUCGUUACUAAUUUCCUAGAUUGCUUUCUAGGUCAUUUCUUUCUGAAACCCCGUUCACAUAAAUUCAGUAUCCAAAGCUGGUUGUUGUAUCUAUGGAAAUAAGAGUUUCAGAAUGAAAUGAUAUUGGAUGCAAUCUAGGAGUUUGCUGACGAUAACGUUAGGGGUCUAGUGCAAU
rnacentral:miRNA from 1 species